rnacentral:tRNA from 1 species
AUUUAAAUAGCUUAAAAUUAAAGUUUAAUAUUGAAGAUAUUAAGAUGAAUAUAUUUCUUUAAAUA